GACGAAGCCCAAGCUAGGUAGUUUGAACCUCCCAUUAAAGGUUCUGAGGUAAUCAUAAUACCGGAACUGCCAGAACCCUGGUUUCUGGACCCGAAAGCAUCUAGUCCCAAAGACAUCUUCGGAUUAUCAACUGAAAACUCGCUGAAACUAAAAUAGAGAACUGAAAACUGUUGCUGUCGGAAAACAGGAUUACUGUAGCUGCCGGAAAAGCACUGCAGCUGCCGGAAAAAUUCAAAGUUGUCGGGAUUGAAAAAUAAAAAUAUGGAUAGGCUCGGAAUUCAAGGUUGAGCAAACUGUCCUGAAGAAAUUCUGGCCGGAAAGUACUGUAGCUGCCGGAAAANNNN
rnacentral:lncRNA from 1 species